GACGAACGCUGGCGGCGUGCUUAACACAUGCAAGUCGAACGAAGAGCGAUGGAAGCUUGCUUCUAUCAAUCUUAGUGGUGAACGGGUGAGUAACGCGUAAUCAACCUGCCCUUCAGAGGGGGACAACAGUUGGAAACGACUGCUAAUACCGCAUACGAUCUAAUCUCGGCAUCGAGGAUAGAUGAAAGGUGGCCUCUACAUGUAAGCUAUCACUGAAGGAGGGGAUUGCGGCUGAUUAGCUAGUUGGAGGGGUAACGGCCCACCAAGGCGAUGAUCAGUAGCCGGUCUGAGAGGAUGAACGGCCACAUUGGGACUGAGACACGGCCCAGACUCCUACGGGAGGCAGCAGUGGGGAAUCUUCCGCAAUGGACGAAAGUCUGACGGAGCAACGCCGCGGGAGUGAUGACGGCCUUCGGGUUGUAAAGCUCUGUUAAUCGGGACGAAAGGCCUUCUUGCGAAUAGUGAGAAGGAUUGACGGUACCGGAAUAGAAAGCCACGGCUAACUACGUG
rnacentral:rRNA from 1 species